rnacentral:lncRNA from 1 species
UGAACUUAAGGGUCUGUAGGAAAAUAAAUGAUUUUAAAGUAGCGCACAUGAUCAAAUUAUCAAUGCUCUACCUCGUCGCCUUCUUUGUCCUCACUAUUGACCACUGCAAGGGCUGGGUCCUCGAUUCCUAUGACCAUUGUAUGCAAUUACGACUGUUUGAUCGCGAUUGAGUGGUUGUGAUUUUUUUAUUUUUCAGAAAACAUAAAUGAUGGGGUUCUUGUGGCAUGGCCCAUGGGCCUUCGGGUCGGGUUUGGCCCUUGAUUUUUUAAAAUUUUCAAGCCCAAGCCUGGUCGGAAGCCCGAGUAAACAACUCAGUCAAGGCUUGGGUAAGGGCGUAGCCUAGCCUAAUCCGGCCCUUUUCCAACCCUAAUUUUAGGAUUUGGGCAGGCUCAGAUGUAUGUAGCCUUACCGCUACUUGUAGGAGGCUGUUUUUGUAUUUUGAACC